CCGUUCAGGGGUAAACCUGAGAAACCCAAAAGAUCGAAUGGGGAGAUUCAUCGUCAGCGAUUUUGGUACGUGUGCGGUCUCGCGAUGCCGGUGACCUCGGUCUCCAGGCACGCGUCCGCAUGUUUUUAUUGCCUCGAUCGCCGGCGUGCACUUCUCCCCUAGUAGGACGUCGCGACCCGUUGGGUGUCGGUCUACGGCCCGGGUGGUAGCCUGUCUCGUGUGCGCUUCGCGGCGUUACGCGGUUCAGAUCCCCGGCUGCCCGACCGGCUGCCCGGCGGUACUCGCACGGUAUCUGGCCGCAAAUAUUCGAACUGCGUCCGGCCCGUCGCAAGCGCGACAAGUGUUCUCCGGUUGCACGGAUCCAAUGCCGUCACCGGGCCUUGUCAGCUGUUGGUCGACGGUGUCCUGGGACUGGCUAAUAUACAAUUAUGAUACCGGUCGGCGACGCUACUGCUUUGGGUACUUUCAGGACCCGUCUUGAAACACGGACCAAGGAGUCUAACAUGUGCGCGAGUCAUUGGGAACUAUUAAGCCUAAAGGCGCAAUGAAAGUGAAGGUCGGCCUUGCGCCGACCGAGGGAGGAUGGGCCGCGUCACGAUGCGGUCCCGCACUCCCGGGGCGUCUCGUUCUCAUUGCGAGAAGAGGCGCACCCAGAGCGUACACGUUGGGACCCGAAAGAUGGUGAACUAUGCCUGGUCAGGACGAAGUCAGGGGAAACCCUGAUGGAGGUCCGUAGCGAUUCUGACGUGCAAAUCGAUCGUCGGAACUGGGUAUAGGGGCGAAAGACUAAUCGAA
rnacentral:rRNA from 1 species